ACGGGUGAGUAACACGUAGGCAAUCUGCCCUGUAGUGGUGGAUAACCCUCCGAAAGGAGGGCUAAUACAGCAUGAGACCACGACAUCCACGGAUGUUGCGGCCAAAGUAGGCCUCUCCACGGAAGCUUACGCUAUAGGAUGAGCCUGCGGCCCAUCAGCUUGUUGGCGAGGUAAUGGCUCACCAAGGCUAAGACGGGUAGCUGGUCUGAGAGGAUGAACAGCCACACUGGAACUGAGACACGGUCCAGACUCCUACGGGAGGCAGCAGUGGGGAAUCUUGCACAAUGGGCGAAAGCCUGAUGCAGCGACGCCGCGUGAGCGAUGAAGGCCUUCGGGUUGUAAAGCUCUGUGGGGAGGGACGAAUAAGUGCUGGCUAACAUCCAGUGCGAUGACGGUACCUCCUUAGCAAGCACCGGCUAACUCUGUGCCAGCAGCCGCGGUAAGACAGAGGGUGCAAACGUUGUUCGGAAUCACUGGGCGUAAAGCGCGUGUAGGCGGCUACGUAAGUCGGACGUGAAAUCCCACGGCUCAACUGUGGAAGUGCGCUCGAAACUGUGUAGCCUGAGUCUUGGAGAGGAAGGCGGAAUACU
rnacentral:rRNA from 1 species